rnacentral:misc_RNA from 1 species
CAAUUUACUAGAAUUAAUCAAGUCUACCACCAUAGCAUGGCCAGAAAAGAUACAUAUAGGAAUAACAAUUUACAAAUAAAAGAAUUCAUAUUUCACAACUUGAGCUCAUAUAAAAUAUUUGCGAUAGUUUCAUUGUAUAACUACCGAUUAAUUAUCAUCACCAAGGUCAACCAUGAAAAUUACACCUGAUUGACUUUAAACUUUGUCAGAAUGGAUUAAAAGAAAGACUGACAUGUACUUCUAUAGGGCAUAACCUGGUUUGAAAUGUAUUAUUCUUGCUUAAAAUUCAAGAUUUUCAGGUCAUAGAAAUGAACUGCAAUAGACUAGUUCAAUUAUUUAUAACUUUAUGCAUGCACUUGAAUAACUUUGUACAAGCCUAAGCCUCAUUCACAUUCAU